rnacentral:misc_RNA from 1 species
GAUGAAGAACGUAGCAAAAUGCGAUACUUGGUGUGAAUUGCAGAAUCCCGUGAACCAUCGAGUUUUUGAACGCAAGUUGCGCCCGAAGCCUUUUGGCCGAGGGCACGUCUGCCUGGGCGUCACGCAUCGCGUCGCCCCCCACAAUUCUCCGUAAAGGGAACAUGUGUUUUGGGGGCGGAUAUUGGUCUCCCGUGCUCAUGGCGUGGUUGGCCGAAAUAGGUGUCCUUUCGAUGGACGCACGAACUAGUGGUGGUCGUAAAAACCCUCGUCUUUUGUUUCGUGCUGUUGGUCGCAAGGUAAACUCUUUUAAAACCCCAAUGUGUCGUCUCUUGACGACGCUUCGACCGCGACCCCAGGUCAGGCGGGACUACCCGCUGAGUUUAAGCAUAUCAAUAAGCGGAGGA